rnacentral:misc_RNA from 1 species
GAUGAAGAACGUAGCGUAAUGCGAUACGUAAUGUGAAUUGCAAAUUCAGUGAAUCAUCGAGUCUUUGAACGCACAUUGCGCCCCCUGGUAUUCCGGGGGGCAUGCCUGUCCGAGCGUCAUUGCUGCCCUCAAGCACGGCUUGUGUGUUGGGCCCCGUCCUCCGAUCCCGGGGGACGGGCCCGAAAGGCAGCGGCGGCACCGCGUCCGGUCCUCGAGCGUAUGGGGCUUUGUCACCCGCUCUGUAGGCCCGGCCGGCGCUUGCCGAUCAACCCAAAUUUUUAUCCAGGUUGACCUCGGAUCAGGUAGGGAUACCCGCUGAACUUAAGCAUAUCAAUAAGCGGAGGA